AGGUUCGGAGUCGGGAGUUUAGCGAAUUAUUUGCGGAAUCUCGUGAGUGUUCGAUUAGCUAUUUUCGAGGUUCGGAGUCGGGAGUUUAGCGAAUUAUUUGCGGAAUCUCGUGAGUGUUCGAUUAGCUAUUUUCGAGGUACUUAGGGGGAUUCGGGACUGUGUGAUGGAGAGCAGCCCUUUCUUUUCAUUGAUUAGGAUUUAUGGACUUCUAGCAUUUAUUCAGUUUUAUUGUUGGAGAUUCUAUUUCUUCGCAUUAUUCGGAUUUAAUUAUUUUGGAGGAUUUAAAUCAUUUGAGGAAUUAUUAGACCUGUUUAGUAUUGUUUCGAAUAUAUUAUCGCUCUGUUUGCAGGUUUUGGAUUUGUAGGUAACUC